rnacentral:rRNA from 1 species
AUUGAACGCUGGCGGCAGGCCUAACACAUGCAAGUCGAGCGGAUGAAGGGAGCUUGCUCCUGGAUUCCGCGGCGGACGGGUGAGUAAUGCCUAGGAAUCUGCCUGGUAGUGGGGGAUAACGUCCGGAAACGGGCGCUAAUACCGCAUACGUCCUGAGGGAGAAAGUGGGGGAUCUUCGGACCUCACGCUAUCAGAUGAGCCUAGGUCGGAUUAGCUAGUUGGUGGGGUAAAGGCCUACCAAGGCGACGAUCCGUAACUGGUCUGAGAGGAUGAUCAGUCACACUGGAACUGAGACACGGUCCAGACUCCUACGGGAGGCAGCAGUGGGGAAUAUUGGGCAAUGGGCGAAAGCCUGACCCAGCCAUGCCGCGUGUGUGAAGAAGGUCUUCGGAUUGUAAAGCACUUUAAGUUGGGAUGAAGGGCGGUAAGUUAAUACCUUGCUGUUUUGACGGUACCAACUGAAUAAGCACCGGCUAACUUCGUG